GAGGCUAAAAAAGCAAGCCAUGAACGCGUGGAGGCGCAGACAUGGAGGAUGGACCUACAAAAUAAAAUCCAAGGUACCAGAUUACUGUUCAUGCGCACGCCUGUUGUACUAAGAAAACCCAUUAUAGCAUGAUCAUUAACAACACCCUUUACCUCUCACAUCUCCUGGAUUUACAAUAUCCUCUUGGUUCUUUCUUUCUUUUUUUGUGUCUGGACGGCUCGUAUCAGCGGCCAGGAUCAGCGAAAGCCAAACACAGCUCAAGAUCCCGACCCUUCAGUCCUGAUGUCUCCGGGAGAUUAUGAAAGAUUUUUGCCUUUUUUAUUUAUGGAUGUAAGGUCAAAGGCAUGUGUGCGAGACAGAGAGAGAGAGAGAGAUGGGGAAAGCCAUCACUCUAUCAUUCUCGUGCUACGUGUCGGGAGCUGCAAAAUCUUGAGCGUGGAAAUGAGAAUUGUUUAGGAGAAUGAAAGGAACAGAACGUUCCAUGUAAUCUUCGAGUGCUGUACUGUUGUUCUUGAGAUUUAGGUUUUGUAUUAAAUACAAUGUUUAGAGAUUAGAACGUCGGAGCCGUGAAGAUCUUGGUGGUCCAAGCUUCGUAGUCACGGAUCUUCUGUGAUGGAAAUAAGGAAAGGAAAAGAAUAUGAUGCUUGUGAGCAGAUGGUCCAGUGAAUCAAGUUUUCG
rnacentral:lncRNA from 1 species